rnacentral:lncRNA from 1 species
UACAUAUUGCUUGUCAAUGCAUGGCGACGCCCGAUCUGCCUAACAAGUGGUGCGAGGUUCGAUGGCGGACGCCGGCCCUGGUACGCGGGGGACACGAGUGCCGCCUGCCCGCCUUGCGGAGCCCCCCUUGUGCCUUCAGGGCCCAUCGAUGCUACAGGCAAUUGCAGUAAAUACAAAAGACAACUGGCUACUUGUGCAUGCAAACCCGCUUGCAGGAGCGGCAAGAACUCGUCGGCCCAUACAAGGAGGAUGGAAUCCGGACAAGCGCGUGUCCGGGUUACUUUCUAACCAUUGCAAAAUGCUGAACGGAGUGAUUAAGAAGGAACGUUGCUUUCAUGAAUUCAUUUAUGAAGCCUGUCAGAGGCUAUAGAUGUCGAGUGCGGCGGUGUGAGCCAGGUGUGUCGUCUGACUCGCUCGACGACCGGGUGGUCGCAAACCGACAGAACUACCCGCUCUAAGCUUCAGAACGGCUGCACGUGUAAAUUAUGGUAUCUA